rnacentral:antisense_RNA from 1 species
GCCAGGAAAAAGAAAGAAAAACAAAACAAAACAAAAAAGGUUGAUCUUGCCUUGAAAGCGGGCAGUGGCCAUUUUCUUCUCUCUGCCAAAGCAGGACACGUUAUUUUUAACACAGAGGGCCACAUCACUGUCCCUCACAAAUACUUCAGACAGUUCUCUUCAACAUCCUGUGGUUCUUCGUCCGAUUCCUUUUUUUUUUUUGAGCUGGAGUCUCGCUCUGUCGCCCAGCCUGGGCCACAGAGUGAGAAUCCGUCUUAAAAAAAAAAAAAAAAAGAAAAGAAAAGAAAAAGAGAAACAGCUCAGGGGUGAAAACAGGAUGUGGGCAACAAAACAACACAGGAAGGAAACAGCAAGAGGAAAGGGAAGGAAGAAGAUGCAUCCAAGAACUGGUUAGAGUGCAAGGAAUUGGGAAGGAAAGAAAAAG